rnacentral:tRNA from 1 species
GCACCGGUAGCUCAAGUGGCAGAGCGGCUGGCUGAAGACCAGCAGACGGUGGCUCGAAACCAUCCCGGUGCGCCA